rnacentral:lncRNA from 1 species
CUUAGCUCCCACAAAUGAAAUUUGUCGUGAAACUUAUUUUUCUAACGGCAACCAUACGAUGUUGUUUUCAAUGUGUCUAACUAGGCAUUUCAGCUUGGGAUUUGAUAUUGACACAAAUAUAUACAUACAUAUAAUCUUCCCAUAUAUCUCUAUAUUUUAGCUUCUCCGCAGAAUUUAAUUGGGAAAAAAAAAUGAAUUAACUGCUGAAAUCCCUUAAUCCCAAGGGUGUUCUUGAUUCUCUCCUUGGCAAAUAAUUGCACAAUCUUGCAGAAAUUUAAUUUUAAUAAACAAGUGAGUUUUGAUUAAGUGGCGAUGACAUAUCACGCUACUGAUGAUGAUGGCAGAGCGGGAGAUUACGUGAAAUUACAAGACGGUGUUGAUGGUAAGGCGGCGUUUUCAGCGUCAUCCGGUUGUUGUGGCGGUGGUAGCGGAGGAUGGUGGCGAUCGUAGGGGUCUUGGCUGCUGUUUUGUUCAAACGGGUCGAACCCUUUUUUCAUGGAUAAGGUAAUUUGUUGUCUAGAAUAGUGAAGGAUGUUUGUUUUUCAAUUUUUUUUUUUUUUUUUUUUUUUUUUUUUUUUUUUUAAUUACAUUCAUUAAUAUGUAAUUUUAACUAUUAUUGGUUUCUGCAUGCAUAGAUACUGAAGUGUUCGUUUUUAUUUUAUGUAUUGUAGAGUAUUUCUGGUAAAUCGAAGGGGGCAAUGAUUUGUAUCAAUUUAAUUUUUCUUUCCUUUUUAGAUUUGGGGGCUUAGAAAAUUGCUCUUUGAUUUUAUAUUGGUUUGUAGUUUAAAUCUUGCCCACUCUUUUAUACGCACUCCUUAUCUGCAAAUUUAUAAUGGAAUUACUUCUUUUCAAUUCUCUUGUCCUCUUUCAUAUUUUGAAUGUUUAUUUUAUAUAUACAUGGGUGUCAGCUUAUGCAUCCAAAAAAUGACAGGAUUUUACAGUUUUGUUGUAAUGUUUGAUGAGCAAAAGUAUUACAAAAUACUAGAAAAGGUUGGUUGUUCUUACCUAUUCUACUUAGCUGGUAUAGUUUACCGAUGUGCUUGUCAUCUUCUGUUAUGUGGAUGGCAUUGCUGACAUAUAUGUAAUGUCCAUGAUUACGAGUCUGGUGAGAAGCCUAGAUAUCGUUUCAUGGUUGUUGAAGACACUAUUAAAAUGAUAUACAUGUGAUUUUGAUCAAGUAGUUCAACAUGAUAUUAAAGUAGAAAAAAGUCCAGAAUUCAAGUCUCGCCGUCACCCAUUAAAAUGAAAUUGUGCAUAUGUAAUGCUUUGAUGGGAAAAGGAUAAAUUUAGCCUACAAAUGACGGGACGUAUUGAACACGCAAUUCAAUUGAUAUACAUGUAACCAUGUUUAAUAGGGUAAAACUUUUAGAUCAAAUAGUUAACAAUGGUUUACAACAAUUCUCAUGGCACUUUUGUGGUCAUAAUGUUUUCCAAGUAUCAUUAUCAUUUUCCAGGUAAUUCCCAACAUAAAUUGGGAGAGGGAAACAUUCAGCAAGCCAAUGCUAGCGCUUCUAGUCUUCGGUUCAGUAGCAAUAUUUCCAACCUUGCUUUUACCUUCUAUACCUACCAUGUGGGCAGGAGGGAUGACUUUGGAUAUGGCUAUGAAUUUUUGCUUAUAAUUGUAGCAGUUGCAUUUGGAGUCUCCGUUCCAUAUUUCAUUGGUUCUAUCUUCCAUCCUAAAAUCCAAGUACGUCAUUUAAUUCUUAUAUAUUGUUUCUUAUGAUUAGUUUGCCUUAGCAUGGGUUUUAUAUUGUACUAAACUUGCCUAUAUAUUGUUCUUUCUGAUAGGCAUGGUUAGAUAGACAUCCGAAGAAAGCUUCCAAAAUAAGACUUAACUGGUGAGGGAACUUGGUUUAAUCAGUUCCAAGCUGUCACGUUGAUUAGAAUUUCUCCUUCCCCCAUGUCGUAUAUAAUUACGGUGCUGUGGCUUUGGAUGUUACAUACGGUCCUUACUUGUUGGGAACCCUGGUAGGAAUGAUGCCAGAAGUGUUUUUUUCAAUUUACACGUAAGGACUCUCUGUCCCUCUCUUGAUCAUUUGCUUCCUCUCCACACACGAAAAAACGGUUUGAGAUUGUUUUUGUAUGUAUUUAUCUAUUAAAAUGGAAAUUGUGGGAGUUCUUGUCAUUUGUGGUAUUUGGUGUAUAUAACUUCUACUGAAAGCUGAGCUCUAAACUGCCUUCUUGAUUUCUUCAUAAUCCAUAAUGAUGAUUGUCGUUUUAGUUAUAUUUGUUUAUGGUGAUUCCGUAUUUGAUCAGGGUCUUAUUUUGGUGCAAAUGUUUUGUAUUAAUAAAUUGUAAAAGCCUUUUCAUAUCUCUGUAAUGUAUAUUAUUUGUCUACAGUAACUUGCAGGAAAAAAAAAAGUAUAUACAUUUUAGUUGAAUCACUGGUUUUUAUGAAACACUAAAAUUAGACGGUACUUCUUUCUUUAUUUUAUUUUUUUUAUUUUAUUUUUUUAUUUAUUUUUUUGUAUAUGUGAUCUUUGUAUGAGUUUCCACACCAGUUGUGAUAAUCUUUAAGAUCAUUAAUUAGUUUUCUGUUGGCUUGUAUUCUAGUUCAUUAAUCGUGUGUGCAUGUACAUGUAUUAUUUGUAUGCCCAUGCCGGGGUGGUGGUGGUGCAGACCCACUUAAAUUGGAAGCAUAAUCGGGAUCGGCUUGUUUGAAUUUGUUAAGGGAUAAAAUCCAUGUUUUUCAUCUUCAUUCGAUGUGAUAUUUUAUCCCUGAGCAGAAAUUUUCCUUGAGAUUUCUUGGAAUUUUGUUUGGAGCAAUAGCUAAUUGUCCACUUGAGUUUCUUUUAUGUGAUCAUUGUUAUGCUCGUGCCUUCAUUAUUUUUGUUCGUAUGAAAUAAAAUUCCUUACUCUUCAUGGGGCGUUUGUUUCACUGUCGUAGCGUCUUGAUGAGAACUUUGGCUGACGUUUCACACAAUCAAAAUGGCCUAUCAGCUUCACAGAUUGCUUUCAAUGCGGUGAACGAACUGCAGACUGAAGACUUACCAAUGCGGUGAUCUCUUGUUUCGUCGUCUGGACCAUCUGAUGAUUUUAUAUUUAUUGAUCUUUCGUUCGGCUGAGGUUUGUCAAUGUGUAGCUGCAUGGAAAGGGAAGGGAGUCGAGACAAAAAUCCCAACAUUAUUGCUGGAGAUUUUGGACUACAGAUGAAGUUGAAAUCGAUUGUAAGUGUCGUAAAGUGAGACAUGCUUUUGUUGAGCUCCUUUCUUCUUUCUUUUCUUCCACAUUAUGGUCCAAAAAAUGUCUUUGACUUCAUCAUUUACUUCGACAGGGAUAGCACAGAAGACUCUUUGUCCCCAUCUAUUCGCUUUAAUCCAUAAAAAAGCAGAGAUAAAGUCUGACUUAAAGUUUUUUUGUGAUUAUUGUCUCGGUUGGCAGAUUUGAUGUAAAGUUAUAGUUCAUGACACCAUUGUAAUCUACCAUAUGUGAUCCAGAAUCAAGCUUGGGAAUCAUGUCAAGCCCAGUCUAUCGGACCUACUCCAUUUCAUUCAUGCUCUGCAUCAAAAUUUUAGGUAAAAUGCGCAUUACUUAUUUUCUUGGUUUGAUAUUGCCCAGCUCGGUAAGUCGGGCUCUCUUCUUAUGUUAAUUUCUUCUUCUUGAUGUACUCUUGAGAACGAAAUGAGGUAGGUGAGGAACUGUCGGUUAAACGAUUAGAGCACAUGACUACAAAUCAUGAUGUUGGGGUUUGAGCCCUUCCUCAUUCACAACCAGAUCCAAGGUGAAGUACCUUUUCCGUGUGGUAGGUAGGAAAAUCACGAUCGAGAUAACGGAUCAAAAGCUAUUUUUUAUUGCAAAAAAAUGUAGUGCUAUAGCACAAGUGACAGUUUACAUUUUGGAGUGAUAUAUUUAUUAAUCUUGAUUCUUAGCAGACCAAGAUGCCGUUGAGUGUCAGUCAAACGUUC